GUUACUGCUAUCGGUGUUCGACUAAGCCAUGCAAGUCAUAUGUUCUUCGUGAACAUGGCAUACUGCUCAGUAACACGUGGAUAACCUGCCCUUGGGUCUGGGAUAACCCCGGGAAACUGGGGAUAAUACCGGAUAACGCAUAUGUGCUGGAAUGCUUUAUGCGUAAAACGGAUUCGUCCGCCCAAGGAUGGGUCUGCGGCCUAUCAGGUAGUAGUGGGUGUAAUGUACCUACUAGCCAACAACGGGUACGGGUUGUGAGAGCAAGAGCCCGGAGAUGGAUUCUGAGACAUGAAUCCAGGCCCUACGGGGCGCAGCAGGCGCGAAAACUUUACAAUGCGGGAAACCGUGAUAAGGGAACACCGAGUGCCAGCAUCAUAUGCUGGCUGUCCAGAUGUGUAAAGUACAUCUGUUAGCAAGGGCCGGGCAAGACCGGUGCCAGCCGCCGCGGUAACACCGGCGGCCCGAGUGGUGACCGUUAUUAUUGGGUCUAAAGGGUCCGUAGCCGGUUUGGUCAGUCCUCCGGGAAAUCUGAUAGCUUAACUGUUAGGCUUUCGGGGGAUACUGCCAGGCUUGGAACCGGGAGAGGUAAGAGGUACUACAGGGGUAGGAGUGAAAUCUUGUAAUCCCUGUGAGACCACCUGUGGCGAAGGCGUCUUACCAGAACGGGUUCGACGGUGAGGGACGAAAGCUGGGGGCACGAACCGGAUUAGAUACCCGGGUAGUCCCAGCCGUAAACUAUGCUCGCUAGGUGUCAGGCAUGGCGCGACCGUGUCUGGUGCCGCAGGGAAGCCGUGAAGCGAGCCACCUGGGAAGUACGGCCGCAAGGCUGAAACUUAAAGGAAUUGGCGGGGGAGCACAACAACGGGUGGAGCCUGCGGUUUAAUUGGACUCAACGCCGGACAACUCACCGGGGACGACAGCAAAAUGUAGGCCAGGCUGAAGACCUUGCCUGAAUCGCUGAGAGGAGGUGCAUGGCCGUCGCCAGUUCGUACUGUGAAGCAUCCUGUUAAGUCAGG
rnacentral:rRNA from 1 species